GAUGAACGCUGGCGGCGUGCUUAACACAUGCAAGUCGAACGAAGCACCUCUCCCGAAGAUUGACACAGCUUGCUGUAGAUUGAUUCAUUUGAGGUGACUGAGUGGCGGACGGGUGAGUAACGCGUGGGUAACCUGCCUCAUAGAGGGGGACAACAGUUGGAAACGACUGCUAAUACCGCAUAGUAAGAAGAAUUCGCAUGUUUUCUUCUUGAAAGAUUUAUCGCUAUGAGAUGGACCCGCGUCUGAUUAGCUAGUUGGUAAGGUAACGGCUUACCAAGGCGACGAUCAGAAGCCGGCUGGGGAGAGGGAACCGCCAAAUUGGGACUGGGACAGGGCCCAAACCCCUAGGGGAGGCAGCAGGGGGGAAUUUUGCCAAAGGGGGAAAACCCGAAUGAACCGACGCCGGGGGAGGAAAGAAUUUUUUCGGUUGUGAAACCCCAAGCCGCAGGGAAGAAAAUGGCGGUCCCGGCAUAAAAAGCCCCGGCAAACUACGU
rnacentral:rRNA from 1 species